rnacentral:lncRNA from 1 species
AGACAGACUUUGAAACCGGGUGCUUUUGGAUCCAGAAACCCAACGACAGGUGGGAAGCAACACUGUUAUCACUGAAAUCAGGCCUAGUCCAGAGAGAUGAAGGAGCCCAGGCUUGGGGGCUGAACCAGGCUCCCCCUAUUCCUGCUUAAGUAACUGAGCACUGAAGACCACAGUAAGUCAUGGGAGCCCGUGAUUCCACACACAGACUUGAGGGUGGGAUGAAAUGAAUCAGCCCAUGAUGGACAGCUGGGAGAUGCUGGGGUGGGUGGGAGAUGCCACAGACUCUGAAGGUUGCCACCAUUAGAACACAGCUGAGACUUUCCAGUAAA